rnacentral:rRNA from 1 species
AUUGAACGCUGGCGGCAGGCCUAACACAUGCAAGUCGAGCGGAUGAAGGGAGCUUGCUCCUGGAUUCAGCGGCGGACGGGUGAGUAAUGCCUAUGAAUCUGCCUGGUAGUGGGGGAUAACGUCCUGAAACGGGCGCUAAUACCGCAUACGUCCUGAGGGAGAAAGUGGGGGAUCUUCGGACCUCACGCUAUCAUAUGAGCCUAGGUCGGAUUAGCUAGUUGGUGGGGUAAAGGCCUACCAAGGCGACGAUCCGUAACUGGUCUGAGAGGAUGAUCAGUCACACUGGAACUGAGACACGGUCCAGACUCCUACGGGAGGCAGCAGUGGGGAAUAUUGGACAAUGGGCGAAAGCCUGAUCCAGCCAUGCCGCGGGUGUGAAGAAGGUCUUCGGAUUGUAAAGCAAUUUAAGUUGGGAGGAAGGGCAGUAAGUUAAUACCUUGCUGUUUUGACGUUACCAACAGAAUAAGCACCGGCUAACUUCGUG